AUACUCUGGUUUCUCUUCAGAUCGCACAAAUCUUUUGCCUUUUACUAAAGAUUUUUGUGGAGAGGAACAAUAUUACUAGGAUGGCAAAAAUUUAUAAAGCAGUUGAAUUCACUUGA